CUUACUACCACACUGUCUGUUCUCUGUCCUAUUCUUCUCUUAGUCUCAACCACAUUCUACCAACACUCGCUCACUCAGACUCCAGUCGGUUACCCCACCCCCGCCCGCCUGUUAACAUUCAUUUAAAAAACACACACCACACACACACUCGCAUUCCAAUGCAUAAGCAUGAGAGAGUGACAGAGAGACAGAGAGAGACCUCUAAACAGAGUGGGAAAUCUGUUUGAAAGUAAUGAAUGUUUACCAGGUGGAUCAAUGGCUGGCAGUUAAAUCAUUUAGUGAAUUACAACAGCGCUGAGAUGUAGCUGUCGCUGUAACACCCGGGAACUUUUUGCCAUACCGUCCAAAGCCUUGCUGCCAUGACCCCAAACUGAACACUGCAUCAGCACAAAACUACCAACUUUAAGACCAGUGGGGGACACUUCCAGGCUUCCUUUCGCCUCUCCCUCCUCCCUGCCCCCACUACUGGCUCUGCCUCUUCUGUGGACCGUGGCCGAGCGUCCAUGCCCCGAGUGUGCUCGCUGGAGCACAGGGCCCUGCAAGAAUGGAGCCCAUUCAACAGCCUGCCUCCAGAUGCUCGCCAAUACAGUCCUCCAGGCUACUGCAGGGAGCAGAGGAGGGGAGAGAGCAGGAAAGGGAGAUAGGAAUCGGAUAGCCUAUCAUUAACAGCCCAAAUAAAUUGAAGGAAAAAUCUCAGGCUAAACCACUGCCCUCAGUCGUGAUGUUUAUAGGUUAUAGCCUUAUUGUUUUGUUUCUUGUGACGUUUCAAAGACCUGUUCUGCCUCGCCAGAGAAGGUGUUUGUUGUUGUAGAUAAACUGUCUAAUGUGUAGCGUCUACUGUGAUUUACAGACAUUGCUCUCAAACCCCAAGUGAGGCAUGAUCCAAAAGAGCAUGGUGUGGGAGUUUCUCUUCAGUGUAAACUAAUCUUACGUUCUUAUCUUAUGUAGCAUCCACCCUGAUGUUAGAUACAAUCUUUUUCUUUUCAUUCAGAUGAAGCUUGUGUCCUAGGGAGAAAAAAACACCGUAAAAAUUGAAAAAAACAUAAACAGAAUUUUUCCAGGGAAUUAACUUAAGGUACAAAAUAACACUAAACUCACUGGGACAAUAAAGGAAAGGAGUGCCUGUGUGUAAGAAAAGGCACAGAUCAAUGCAAUAUUAAUGUAUCAAUCAGAACCAAGUUAUCAAGCAGCAGUAGAGAGAACAGCAUUGCAGCCCCUGUAAUCAUGACCCUCAGCUAUAUGAUCCCUGCACUGAACUCCCUAUCUUCCCUUAGUGAUAACGUAUAUAUCGAAUAUAGACUCAAACAUUUAUAACCAUCCUCCCCAGGGUUCAUGUCGGAAGCAAGGAUCCAGCACAUUCCUUAUGAAUACUAUAUUACUGCACCACACGAGACAUGCUACCGCAGCUUCUUUAACAGACCAAACUGAUCGAAUAUGAGCUUUUUCCAUCAGUGCCUUUAUCUCAUUAUGUCAGGAAUCCAAACCUUUUAGUCCGCAGAUACAAGAGUGGAGUUCUUCUUCGGGUUUGGGACCCACAUUGGGUUGCUUGAAUAUAAUUGACAAAGGAUUUUCAAGUUGGUAAAAUUGCUGGGGUUAUAAGAAUAUAAGACAAAAAGCUUGAGAACCUCCUGAGGUUACAGUGAGAAGCUCCUCAACAGGAGAGCACAGAAGACCUCCCUGUAGUGCUGUGGUCAGGUCUGACACCUAGUGGCCAGGAACUAGAAGUACGCCACAUACAGAAACUGGGAAACAUUAAAAGCAAAACUUGAAAAUAUCUAUAAAGUCAUGCCCAAUAACAAAAUAAAGAGGUAACUAUCUUGAGCUAGACCAUUAUUUAUGGUUUGCAGCCUGUUUCUCCCAUCUCCUUUAGUUGUUCACCAGACAGCAAUGAGAUGGAAAAGGUCAGUCUUCAAAGUGAGCAGGCAGGUGAGGUAAAUGUCCUCACAGGCUAACCUCAGUUUAACAGUGAACAUUGAAGAAGAUACAUUCUCUUUGAAAUGACACAAAAAUCUAAAAUUGACUAUUUUCAUCUUGGCUGCUGCCUAAAGGACCAGUGUUAAAGGAUUUAGGAUUGGCAAUGUAGCAGUGGGACUGCAGAUCACAACCAACUGAGACAGACUCAUCCAACCAGGAAGGAGAAACUAUCGUGGCCACAAAAACGCGAAAGUUUGUAUCUUGAGCCACAUUUUGGUUUUCUGGUUCUGGGCUAUGGCAGAAACAUGGUGGUUUCAACAUGACAGACCCGCUCCCUCUGUUACAUACCUAUUACAUUUCUGCCAAUAGAUCCUCCAAAAUGUUACACACUGGAUCUUUACGUAUCAGUCUGUUUUGAACAGAGAAGUCACACAAGCCAAAAAGGUAAUUUGCAAACAUAAAAACUAGCAGAACUUCAAAGAGACAAAUUUUAAAAUGACAAGCUCACUUACCCACAAAUCACUCACCUAAUAGGACCAAUUGGGUCAUUUCAACUGUCUCUGCAACCUAAUAUUAGAUUAGAUUAUACAGUACAUUAUGUUAGAGAUAGGCAGUCUAACAAACCACGACACGAUACUACGAUUAGAAACAAAAAUAAAUUGCGCUAAACUGCAAACAUCUGUACUUACAUGGAUACUUGGUUCUGUUGAGUGAAGCUCUUGGAGGCUGGAGAGGAGAUGUCGUCCUAGUUAUGUGGUCUACUGAACAUCUUGACCUGUCCGUAAAAGUCCCGUCCAGGUUCUUUGCCUAAAACUGAAACAAUAAAUCACAUAAUCCUAAACUGCACUACAAAGUACACAACAGGACGCAUCGCACAGAAAAUGUUCCUGAUCAACAGACACGUCUUUAAAGAAUCAAGUCAAGUGUCAAGUCUUAAAAACAGUGGUCAGUGUUACAACCAAAGUUUGGCGAGUAUUUAUCUUUGAGAAAUUAUCAGCUUUGAGACUCAAACAUUUCAAUUCUCAAAAGGAAAAAGAUUUGAAAAUAUGUUGUCAAAUCCAAAAUUAAGGACGC
rnacentral:lncRNA from 15 species